rnacentral:rRNA from 1 species
GACGAACGCUGGCGGCGUGCUUAACACAUGCAAGUCGAACGGAAAGGCCCUGCUUUUGUGGGGUGCUCGAGUGGCGAACGGGUGAGUAACACGUGAGUAACCUGCCCUUGACUUUGGGAUAACUUCAGGAAACUGGGGCUAAUACCGGAUAGGAGCUCCUGCUGCAUGGUGGGGGUUGGAAAGUUUCGGCGGUUGGGGAUGGACUCGCGGCUUAUCAGCUUGUUGGUGGGGUAGUGGCUUACCAAGGCUUUGACGGGUAGCCGGCCUGAGAGGGUGACCGGCGUCAUUGGGACUGAGAUACGGAGCAGACUGCUAUGGGAGGCAGCAGUCGGAAAUAUUGCAGAAUGGGCGCAAGCGUGAUGCAGCGACGUUGCGUGCGGGAUGACGGCCUUCGGGUUGUAAACCGCUUUCGCCUGUGACGAAGCGUGAGUGACGGUAAUGGGUAAAGAAGCACCGGCUAACUACGUG